rnacentral:lncRNA from 1 species
AAGGAAGAGCCGGAAGCUGGACGCCCCUCUGGGAAGCAGCAGUAAAGUCUUGCUCUGAUGUGCUGGCUGAGGAAGGAUGCCACUUGCAGUUCUGAGGGGCAUGUGUGCAGGGUCAGCCACCCUCCACUUUCUCCUUCUUCUACCAGGAAACCUGAUGGAAACAGGGAGAAGCAUGCCUCAUUUCUUCAUGAAUGAUGCUGACGAACCUUGUCCCUGAAACUACUUGUUCCAAGCCUCCUUCUAUCCAUCCUGAAGGUAAAUGAAAGCAUCAGCAAAGAUAAAAUGAGGAGAAAGCAGAAAUAAAACUUCCAGCUCUACUUCUAAAGGUUGGGGAAAAUGUCAUGCACAUAAGGCCUCCACUGGUUUUUGAAUCAGAGGACAAAACUGGGAUUUUUUUGGUCUAAUAAUCUAAUCUUCUGUACGAAGACCCCAUUAAAACUAUUCUGAAGGAUCACACUUGAGCCACAUUUUCAUUGGUAACUUCAUUCUGUCUACCACUCCAACUAACUAGAAAAGCAGUUCUGAAAGGACCUUUAAGCACAACCUCUAUUUUCUGC